rnacentral:hammerhead_ribozyme from 1 species
AUCCAGCUGAUGAGUCCUAAAUAGGAAGAAACGCGCGUCUUGGAU